rnacentral:rRNA from 1 species
CGCCUGUUUUUCAAAAACAUGGCUCUUUGGAAAACUUACAUAAAGAGUCGGACCUGCCCAGUGAUACAUCUCGUAUUCAACGGCCGCGGUACUCUGACCGUGCAAAGGUAGCAUAAUCAUUUGCCCUAUAAUUGAGGGCUAGUAUGAAAGGUUUGACAAGGGCAACCCUGUCUCUGCAGAAAUCUCUGGAAUUUAUUCUCUAGGUGAAGAAACCUAGAUAAUAUUAAAAGACAAGAAGACCCUAUCGAGCUUAAAACUCAUUUAUGAUAUAAAGAAAGUGAUAUACACAUUUCUUUUCAUAAAAAAUUUUGGUUGGGGCGACUAAGGAACAACUAAAGCUUCUUUUAUUUAUAAAAAUAUCUAAAUCUAGAUCCGUACUAGUUACGAUUAAAAGAAUUAGUUACCGUAGGGAUAACAGCAUAAUCUUUUUUGAGAGUUCUCAUCGAAAAAAAGGUUUGUGACCCUCGAUGUUGGACUAGAAUAUCCUGACAGGUGCA